rnacentral:lncRNA from 1 species
UCACAGUCCCCAGAGCCCACAGAGCCGCACCCCAGAGCCCUGGCCCCCUCGCCACCUGCCGAGUUCAUCUAUUACUGUGUAGACGAGGACGAGCUAAAGCGGCUGCUGCCCAGUGUCUGGUCAGAGUCUGAGGAUGGGGCAGGAUCGCCCCCACCUUACCGUCGUCGAAAGAGGCCCAGCUCUGCCCGACGGCACCAUCUUGGCCCUACCUUGAAGCCCACCUUGGCUACACGCACAGCCCAACCAGACCAUACCCAGGCUCCAACGAAGCAGGAAGCAGGUGGUGGCUUUGUGCUGCCCCCGCCUGGCACUGACCUUGUGUUUUUACGGGAAGGCGCAAGCAGUCCUGUGCAGGUGCCGGGCCCUGUUGCAGCUUCCACAGAAGCCCUGUUGCAGGUGAAGCAAGAGAAGGCGGAUACCCAGGACGAGUGGACACCAGGCACAGCUGUCCUGACUUCUCCCGUAUUGGUGCCUGGCUGCCCUAGCAAGGCAGUAGACCCAGGCCUGCCUUCUGUGAAGCAAGAGCCACCUGACCCAGAGGAGGACAAGGAGGAGAACAAGGAUGAUUCUGCCUCCAAAUUGGCCCCAGAGGAAGAGGCAGGAGGGGCUGGCACACCCGUGAUCACGGAGAUUUUCAGCCUGGGUGGAACCCGCUUCCGAGAUACAGCAGUCUGGUUGCCAAGGUCCAAAGACCUUAAAAAACCUGGAGCUAGAAAGCAGUAGACUGGAGGCUUCUACAGACUGUAGGAUUCAAGUCUGCAGGGCAGGCACUCGGGAAGGGAAGAUGGAUGUAAAGUGUGGGAGACCGAGGACACAGUGGAGCCCACGAGCACGAG